UUCUUUCGCCUUCUUUCUUUCUAUGCUCACAUAGAUUUCAUUUUUCUUUAAGUAUUAUACACCCCAUUUUUUAUUAGUAUUUCACCGUAUUAUACUUCAAAACCUUGUCCCGUUUUAAGUGUUUUAACCCUGAUCAUCGAUACUCUGUCCGACUGACGUAGGCCCCCGUAACGUAUGUCAAGGCUCUGCUUAAAUUCGUUGGGGUUCUGUCCCGUGACGUAGGGAUAAAGUGAAAUUGGAUUACUAUACUUAAUGUGGGUAACUUAGUGUGAAGCCAAUAAAAGC
rnacentral:lncRNA from 1 species